rnacentral:rRNA from 1 species
AGGACGAACGCUGGCGGCGCGCUUAACACAUGCAAGUCGAGCGAGAACCGGUCCUUCGGGACCGGGGAAAGCGGCGAACGGGUGAGUAACACGUGGGUAAUCAACCCUCAGUACCGGGAUAGCCCGAGGAAACUCGGAUUAAUACCGGAUGGCCCAACAGCUCUUCGGGGCGGUUGGAAAAGGUAGCUUCGGCCUCCGACUGAGGACGAGCCCGCGGCGGAUUAGCUUGUUGGCGGGGUAAUGGCCCACCAAGGCGACGAUCCGUAGCUGGUCUGAGAGGACGAUCAGCCACACUGGGACUGAGACACGGCCCAGACUCCUACGGGAGGCAGCAGUGGGGAAUCUUGCACAAUGGGCGAAAGCCUGAUGCAGCGACGCCGCGUGAGGGAAGAAGGCUUUCGGGUUGUAAACCUCUUUCAGGAGGGACGAAGCUACUCGGGUUAAUAGCCCAGAGGGUGACGGUACCUUCAGAAGAAGCCCCGGCUAACGUACGUGCCAGCAGCCGC